rnacentral:rRNA from 1 species
UACGUAGGGUGCAAGCGUUGUCCGGAAUUAUUGGGCGUAAAGAGCUCGUAGGCGGUCUGUCACGUCGGCUGUGAAAACCCGAGGCUCAACCUCGGGCCUGCAGUCGAUACGGGCAGACUGGAGUGUGGUAGGGGAGAUCGGAAUUCCUGGUGUAGCGGUGAAAUGCGCAGAUAUCAGGAGGAACACCGGUGGCGAAGGCGGAUCUCUGGGCCAUUACUGACGCUGAGGAGCGAAAGCGUGGGGAGCGAACAGG